UACGUAGGGGGCAAGCGUUGUCCGGAUUUAUUGGGCGUAAAGAGCGUGUAGGCGGCCGCACAGGUCCGUUGUGAAAACUGGAGGCUUAACCUUCAGACGUCGAUGGAAACCGUGCGGCUAGAGUCCGGAAGAGGAGAAUGGAAUUCCUGGUGUAGCGGUGAAAUGCGCAGAUAUCAGGAGGAACACCGGUGGCGAAGGCGGGUCUCUGGGCCGUAACUGACGCUGAGGAGCGAAAGCGUGGGGAGCGAACAGG
rnacentral:rRNA from 1 species